rnacentral:rRNA from 1 species
UUUAAAGAAAGCGCGUAACAAGCUCACUGCUCAACCGAUUUCUGCCCGAAAAUAUACGGGCCUAAAAUAGACCCGAAGCUGUAGACUUGAUCGUAUUCAAGUGGUAGGAGAGCGUUCUAAUCAGCGUUGAAGCUAUAUCGGUAAGAAGUAGUGGACCGGUUAGAAGUGAGCAUGCAGGCAUGAGUAGCGAGAAAAGGGGUGAGAAUCCCCUUCGCCGAAACCCAAGGGUUCCUACACGAUGCUCGUCAAUGUAGGGUUAAUCGGGUCCUAAAGCCUGAGUCCGAAAGGGGUAAACCGAUGGAAAAAUCGGUUUAAUAAUUCCCGAUUCCCACCUUAUUAGGAAGCCGUGAAUUGGGAAGGAACCGCCAAUUAAGGGGCCUUAAUUGUUGAAGGGUCCAACCUGAAUUGGAAAUAAGUUGGGCCUCCGAAAGGGUUGUUAAGGCCUUGGGAAGAGAAAAGGGAAAAUCCCACCUUCUCCCUAUAGCUGAGACCUGACAGGCUGUGGAGGCUCUUAGGAGCCAAAACAGAAUCACAGAUGCCGAAGUGUCAAGAAAAGUCUCUAAGCAUAUCUAUAGUUGCCCGUACCGUAAACCGACACAGGUGGGUGAGAUGAGAAUUCUAAGGCGCGUGGAAGAACCAUUGUUAAGGAACUCUGCAAACUAGCACCGUAUCUUCGGUAUAAGGUGUGCCUACUUAGGUGAAGCUCCUAGCGAGUGGAGCCUGAGAGGUUGCAACAAAGAGUCCCUCCCGACUGUUUAUCAAAAACACAGCACUAUGCUAACUCGUAAGAGGAUGUAUAUGGUGUGACGCCUGCCCGUGCCGGAAGGUUAAUGAUGGGGUUAGCCGUGAGGCGAAGCUCUUGAUUGAAGCCCCGGUAAACGGCGGCCGUAACUAUAACGGUCCUAAGGUAGCGAAAUUCCUUGUCGGUUAAAUACCGACCUGCAUGAAUGGCGUAACGAGAUGGGAGCUGUCUCAACAAUGGAUCCAGUGAAAUUGUAGUGGAGGUGAAAAUUCCUCCUACCCGCGGCAAGACGGAAAGACCCCGUGCACCUUUACUACAGCUUGACACUGCAAUCGGGAUAGAUAUGUGCAGGAUAGGUGGGAGGCUAAGAAGCUAGGACGCUAGUCCUAGUGGAGCCAACCUUGAGAUACCACCCUUAUCUAUUCUGGUUGCUAACUUGCGAGUGUUAUCCACUCGGAGGACAAUGUCUGGUGGGUAGUUUGACUGGGGCGGUCGCCUCCUAAAAAGUAACGGAGGCUUACAAAGGUUAGUUCAUAUGGGUUGGAAAUCCAUAGAAGAGUAUAAUGGCAUAAACUAGCUUAACUGCGAGACAGACAAGUCGAGCAGAGACGAAAGUCGGUCAUAGUGAUCCGGUGGUUCUGAGUGGAAGGGCCAUCGCUCAAAGGAUAAAAGGUACGCCGGGGAUAACAGGCUGAUCUCCCCCAAGAGCUCACAUCGACGGGGAGGGUUUGGCACCUCGAUUGU